CCUGUUGUAGUGCUGUAGGUGAUGAGAGUGAAGAAUGAAUUUACCUGCACAAUGCUCACCACCCCCCCCCCCCUUCAGUCAUGCGGGGACUUAAUUGCUCUCACUAUUAUGUUAAAUGAUAUGCAACUCCCAUACUAUUCACCAAUCCAUUUGAUAUUGUGACAUCAAAAUGCAUGUAUUAUUGUGAUUCAUUAUUUGAAUGUACAUAUAGAUAAUUGAUGUAUAUUUGUAUUGUUACUAUGGAUAUGAGCUCUAAAGCAACAUUUCAAAUUCCUGAUAUAGUCUGUUUGGAGUGAGAAGGGCAUUACCGCUGUAGAAAUUGUAUGAAUGAAUGCUCUUCUUGCUCCAAGCAGAUGAUAUAAUACAUUGCAGCAUUUUCACAAUUCACAUGUCUAAAGAGUUCCAAAAGCACUUUCAGUAAUAUGCCACUUCCAUUACAGUAUUCCUCGUGUCAUUGGGGAAAGAAAAAGAUUUAAAAACUUGACAUUUGCUCCUUUUCAACAGGAGAAGGGAUGGUUAUAGUAGACUGUCAACGAGAGAUCGUGAGGAUGAGUUUGACAUUGUGGCAUUAUCAUCAACUCCUUCACAGACGACACAAGACCUACGACAGCAACUGCUCAAAGACGGCUUCCGGUUAGAUGAGGUCCCUGACGAUGAGGAGCUUGACUUGAUCCCACCACGGCCGAUGGUUGACCGAUGCGCAUGCUGCCAACCCCAAGCUAACUGCACAAUACAAUGACAUGCAUGAAGUCCAUAUUGGACCCUAUCCCAUGACAUGCCCCCUUCUUAUUUAUGAAAACGGAAAUAGAUGUGAAUAUGUAUAUUUCUUCAACUGCAAAAAAGAUCACUAUACUUCACCGGAUCAAGUGGAACCCAAGCGAUGAAGAAAACGGACUUGGCAACAAAAAAAUGGAUGACUGUUGAUCCUAGAAGAAUUGAAUUAUGGUUGUGAAAGAGAUAUUAUUGGUAUAUAUCAUAAGGAUUAUGAAUGUGUAUAUCAAUACUGUUUUCACAUUGAGGAGUGUUGAAAGUCUAUUUUAUGAUGGUGCACAUGUGUAUUUUGAAAUGCAGCAAUCAUUUUUUUUUUAAAUCUGUGUUAUGCCAAUUGUGUGUACUGCAGUUGUUUAUUGCUGUACCGAUGAUAUAUCAUAUUUAUGCCAAAUACAUGUUUCUUUCUCUUUCAAUUUUUUUGUUAUUAUCCCUAUCAACUAGUAAAAAGUAGGAGACAUCUUGUUUUCUUUAUGUUUUCAUGUUCUGUUUUACCAUGAUUUCUCUAUUUUUAUUGUUGAUAUUUCAUCUCUUUCUUAAUGUUUGUAUUACUUGAUCCAUGACUCUAAAUAUUUAUAUUUAUGUUAACAUAAUAAUAAUAUUAAUAAUAAUAAUAACCUAGACUUAUAUAGCGCAUUUCAUCUUCGAAGAAAAUAGCAAUGCGCUUUACAAUAUUAAUACAACAAAAUUACACAUAACAACUAAUUCAUGAACUAAAGAUAUAUAUCAAAAUAAGGAAGAGAAUUCCAUUUAUGCUAGGACAAACAAAGCACUUGUAUGUGAAUGUAAUGCUGUGAGAAAAUGUUGGGUCCAUGAUUCCAGAAAAAUAGAGAUCAUCUUUAAUUGAGUAUCAAUUCACACAUCAAAUGCACAUACCAAGUAACUCUCUUUAAGAUGACACAUGGAAAACAGGAUGUCAAAUUCCCUUUGAUGUACUGCCUACAAGAUCUAUGUUUGACAUUACACUGAACUUCAUUUUUAAAUGUAGCAUAGACUUCCCGCUAACCAUCAUAUUAAGUACAAUGUACAGCAGUAAUUCUCACUCUGUCAGUAGACUGCACCCAAAAAACUUUUUACCUGGAAAACCAAUCCUUGAAUUAUAAACAUUUUGUCUUGCUUCCACUAUGCUUAGAUUGCUUCUGAACACCCAACAUGGAACACUUAAGCACUUGGCCGAUCAGAUUUCAGCCAAACCUUUUAAUGGUGGAGAGUGGUGUAAGCAUAAUUUGAUUUUUACCUCCCGUCCGUCACAUCCGGGGAGCUAUGACUGGAUGGUUUGAUGACCCCUCCAGCAGAAAUACAACAAUUAUCUGGUUUUCGUGUAAGGAAUCGGAGAACAGGAUGUUGAUGAUAUGUCACAUGAACAUGUUCCAUAAACAACAGCCAUGAGCAAGAUGAUUGUCGGACAACUCUAAAACUUGCUCUAAUUACUAAAAGAUACUGGAAAACAAGAUUUCUUCUUUGGAAGGCUAUUAUAAUAGAGGCUACUGUGAAAGGAAGCUUGGUUUCACACCAAUAUUGAUCAUCUUUUCCAUGGGAGAUAACAGUCCUGUCUCAUCAGUCAUCAUGUUCUGUGAAUGACCUCUAAAGAUAUCCAUGGUAGUGCCUUCUGGACUUUUGACACUUUGGAUUUAAUGAGUUACAAACAAGCUAAGCCACAAACAACUACUGGCAGUUGACCCAAGCGGUCAAACUGGAUACUAGUCAUAGUCAUAGUCAUAGUAUGACUAGUCAUAGUCAUACUUUCAAAUCAAAGAUUUGCCUGAUGUUGGUGUUAGUUCUCAAUGGAAGAUCAUGAAGAUCAGAAAACUACUCCGUAAUAUGCUCUGGUGACAAUUAUUUCAGGCUUCAUUUUGUUCAAAAGAUGUAGCGUUGCAGUUGGGUUUUAGGUUAGGAUUAGUGUUAGUAAUUAAUAGAGAGUUGAAGUGAAGAGUUCGGUCAAUGUAGGAUAUAGACCACCAAGAAAUAUGGGUGAAACAUGUGUCAUACAUAAAUAUAAAUUCAGAAAACCCCAGAUAUAUAGGGUUGUUAGGCAUUCCAAUGUUCAAAAAGGAAACCUACCUGUAUAAAAUACAGGCUCAACCAGUAAUUUCUUGUGCAAUAGAUACAGUACUGUUGACCAGUUUUUAUUUUAUUUUUUCUUAUUCAGGUGAUGUAUGCAAUGUCCCUGACAUUUAUAAUUAAAAAGAAAAAGAUCUCACUAUAUAGACUUAUACUUUUUUUCUAUUUAUUUGUAGCAUAAGCAAUUGCUUUCCACUUUUCCAGAACUUUUUGUUUUGACUAUGCUUUGACUUUCUGCAAAGUUACUUUUAAGAGAGGUUAUUCUAAAAGUGGCACCUCUCCAUAUGUUGUUACAUCCCCUAUCAGUGAGACUGUACAUUGAAAUUACAUAUUCCUGAUGUUUGUAGUGGCAUGAGCUAUAAGGGCUAAUUAAUUAUUUACAAAAAUACUUUUUAUAGAUGCACCACAUUAUGCUAACCUGUUGAUUAUUAAGUCGGAAAAGGCAGAACUUGUAGUCUGUGGAAAAUAUUUGUGAUAUCAACAUCAAAUCAUAGCCAAUGGGUCAAAAUCUGUGCUCUAAUCAUUUUAAUUUUGUUUAAAGAGGAGGUCGAUCCUUUGCCAUUAUCAAGAUGGUAAGAAGGCACCCCUACAUGCAUGUCUGCAGAUGUCUUCCUCUUUAUUGAUUCAAAUCGAUGGUAACAUGCCUGUGCCAGCUUUUUACCUGAUGACGACAGAAAAAUGAGAAGACGAGAGAAAAGAGCCAUUACCUUAAAGACGUCCCAGUAUGACAUACCUGUAUGCCUCAAGGCAAUCGGCGCAAAAAAAGAAGCUAAAAGAUGCAGACCAAAAUCCAGGUUUUGAAUGAAACAGAGCUGACUAUCACGAACCUGUCCCCUUGCAGAAUUUCUCCACUUACCAAUUCAUGAAUUGUCUUGAGGAAAGAAAUGUUGAAAUCCAGAGCUACUAAACAAAAUUUAUGUUUGAUUCGGAUCACAGCCCCCCCCCCCC